rnacentral:rRNA from 1 species
CAGCCGCCGCGGGAAUACGUAGGUCCCGAGCGUUGUCCGGAUUUAUUGGGCGUAAAGCGAGCGCAGGCGGUUAGAUAAGUCUGAAGUUAAAGGCUGUGGCUUAACCAUAGUACGCUUUGGAAACUGUUUAACUUGAGUGCAAGAGGGGAGAGUGGAAUUCCAUGUGUAGCGGUGAAAUGCGUAGAUAUAUGGAGGAACACCGGUGGCGAAAGCGGCUCUCUGGCUUGUAACUGACGCUGAGGCUCGAAAGCGUGGGGAGCAAACAGGAUUAGAUACCCCGGUAGUCCCUGUCUCUUAUACA